AGAGUUUGAUUAUGGCUCAGGAUGAACGCUGGCGGCGUGCUUAACACAUGCAAGUCGAGCGAAGCACUUUCUCGGAAGUUUUCGGAUGGAAGAGGAUUUGACUGAGCGGCGGACGGGUGAGUAACGCGUGGGGAACCUGCCUCAUACAGGGGAAUAACAGAUGGAAACGUCUGCUAAUGCCGCAUAAGCGCACACUGUGGCAUCACAGAGUGUGAAAAACUCCGGUGGUAUGAGAUGGCCCCGCGUCUGAUUAGGCAGUUGGCGGGGUAACGGCCCACCAAACCGACGAUCAGUAGCCGACCUGAGAGGGUGACCGGCCACAUUGGGACUGAGACACGGCCCAAACUCCUACGGGAGGCAGCAGUGGGGAAUAUUGCACAAUGGGGGAAACCCUGAUGCAGCGACGCCGCGUGGGUGACGAAGUAUUUCGGUAUGUAAAGCCCUAUCAGCAGGGAAGAAGAUGACAGUACCUGACUAAGAAGCCCCGGCUAACUACGUGCCAGCAGCCGCGGUAAUACGUAGGGGGCAAGCGUUAUCCGGAUUUACUGGGUGUAAAGGGAGCGU
rnacentral:rRNA from 1 species